ensembl:lncRNA
ACAAACUCGACCUUGAUCUGCAUAAACUCAGCACCAGAAACAAACAUCCCCAAACAAGUCACAUACACACCCGCCUUCACUCCGACCACCUCAAUCUCGAACUCCUCGGGCAACAAAUCGACUUCUGCCAACACUACCACAACCUCAGCUACAACAACCUCAGGCACAGCCUCGACAUCCAGAUGCCCUACAACAUCCUCAACCCUGGAAAUCGUGCGCACCACCUCGAGCACGGCCUCCACAUACAGGGCCUCCACCGCCACAUCCUCUGCAACCUCCUCAAGUCUGACAACCUCGGCCACGGCCUCCACAGCCACAUCCUCUGCAACCUCCUCAAGUCUGCAAACCACUCUCGCCCCCUCGAGCCCGUCCUCCACCUACACGGCCUCGACCUCAACCUCCUCGCUCACCGCCUCUCCUCCAACAUCCUCGCACACGGCCUCAACUCCAACAUCCUCAGGCAUAGCCUCCAGCUCCUCCACAACCACCACCAACCCGACCUCCUCCUCAGCAGCCUCCACUCCAGCACCCUCUGUCACCACCUCAAGUCCUACUUCCUUGAGAACCACCUCAAUCUUGACCUCCUCCUUUUUUAGCCCAACUUCUGACUCCUUUUCCUCAUCCUCAGCCCUGACCUCCACACACCCAAUGAGUACCACCAUGCUCCCAACCUCCUCCACUCUUCCUACUGCCACUAGCACUCUCCCCACCACCACACUGACCACCGCCACCGCACACCCAGCCACCACUAACACCCAGCCAACCAGCACCACCACCGCGCUCCCCACCACCACCGCACUCUCCACCACAACAACCACAUUCCUCACCACCAUGCUCCCAACCACCACCACCACAAUCUCCACCACCACAGUUCCCACCUCCACCACCACGCUCCUCACCUCCACGCACCAAGCCAGUACCACCAACACCCAGCCAACACACACCACCACACUCCCCACCACCGAAACGUACCCAGCCACCACCACCAUGACCAUCACACUCCCCAUGACCACCACCAAGCUCCCCACCACCACCACCCAGCCUAUCAGCACCACCACACUCCCCACCACCACACAAACAGCCACUACCAGCAACACCCAGCCAACCAGUACCAUCACCCUGCCCCACACCACCAACAACCAGGUGACCACCACUACGUACCCCACCACAACCACACUCCCCAGAACCACCACGCACCCAACGAUGAUCACCACUCACCCGACCACCACCACUACACACCCGACCACCACCACCACUACAAACCCAACCACCACCACUACACGCCCAACCACCACCACCACUACGACCACCACCACAACCACAACAAGCCCAGCCACCAGCACUACCACCCCAGGUACCACCCCUCCCACCCUUGGCUGCCUCCAGGGCAGGUUCCUCACCUCACACCUCCCAACCCCACCUCACCUGCUCUUUUCCAGGGGUCUGCGAAAAUGGAGGCACUUGGGUCAACGGCCAAUGCGUGUGUCGCCCGGGAUACACGGGCACCACCUGCAGUUACGGCGAGAGCAGCAUCGAGACCAAAGCCGAGACCAAUGUGUCUGUGAGCGUGGAGCUGCGGGUCACCAACCAGGAGUUCUCCGAGGACCUCCGAAACGAAAGCUCUGA